AUAUGGUGUAACUAGUCACAUUAAAUUUUCAUUUUAAAGGAGUAAGACUACUAUA
rnacentral:tRNA from 1 species